GAUGAACGCUGGCGGUAUGCUUAACACAUGCAAGUCGAACGGACUCUUCGGAGUUAGUGGCGGACGGGUGUGUAACGCGUGAGAAUCUGGCUUUGGGUUCGGGACAACCACUGGAAACGGUGGCUAAUACCGGAUGUGCCGAGAGGUAAAAGAGAAAUUGCCUGAAGAUGAGCUCGCGUAUGAUUAGCUAGUUGGUGAGGUAAAGGCUCACCAAGGCAGCGAUCAGUAGCUGGUCUGAGAGGAUGACCAGCCACACUGGGACUGAGACACGGCCCAGACGCCUACGGGAGGAAGCAGUGGGGAAUUAUCCGCAAUGGGCGAAAGACUGACGGAGCAAUACCGCGUGAGGGAAGAAGGCUCUUGGGUUGUAAAACUCUUUUCUUAGGGAAGAACAAAAUGACGGUACCUAAGGAAUCAGCAUCGGCUAACUCCGUG
rnacentral:rRNA from 1 species